CCUACGGGAGGCAGCAGUGGGGAAUAUUGCGCAAUGGGCGGAAGCCUGACGCAGCGACGCCGCGUGGGGGAUGACGGCCUUCGGGUUGUAAACCUCUUUCGCCAUCGACGAAGCCUUCGGGUGACGGUAGGUGGAGAAGAAGCACCGGCCAACUACGUGCCAGCAGCCGCGGUAAUACGUAGGGUGCGAGCGUUGUCCGGAAUUAUUGGGCGUAAAGAGCUCGUAGGCGGUGUGUCGCGUCGGUCGUGAAAACUUGGGGCUUAACCCUGAGCUUGCGGUCGAUACGGGCAUCACUUGAGUUCGGCAGGGGAGACUGGAAUUCCUGGUGUAGCGGUGAAAUGCGCAGAUAUCAGGAGGAACACGGGUGGCGAAGGCGGGUCUCUGGGCCGAUACUGACGCUGAGGAGCGAAAGCAUGGGUAGCGAACAGGAUUAGAUACCCUGGUAGUCCAUGCCGUAAACGGUGGGCGCUAGGUGUGGGGGCCAUUCCACGGUCUCUGUGCCGCAGCUAACGCAUUAAGCGCCCCGCCUGGGGAGUACGGCCGCAAGGCUAAAACUCAAAGGAAUUGACGGGGGCCCGCACAAGCGGCGGAGCAUGUGGAUUAAUUCGAUGCAACGCGAAGAACCUUAC
rnacentral:rRNA from 1 species